UCCAGGCCUGGCUGGCAGGGUUUGAAUUCCCUGGGUUUAUAAUCCAGGAUUUGAGUUCCCUGGGUUUAUAAAGCAGGGUUUGGUAUUCCCUGGGUUUAUAA